rnacentral:rRNA from 1 species
AGAGUUUGAUCCUGGCUCAGGACGAACGCUGGCGGCGUGCUUAACACAUGCAAGUCGAGCGGUAAGGCCCUUCGGGGUACACGAGCGGCGAACGGGUGAGUAACACGUGAGCAACCUGCCCCUGACUCCGGGAUAAGCGGUGGAAACGCCGUCUAAUACCGGAUAUGACCUGCCACCUCAUGGUGGGGUGGAAAGUUUUGUCGGUCAGGGAUGGGCUCGCGGCCUAUCAGCUUGUUGGUGGGGUAACGGCCUACCAAGGCGAUUACGGGUAGCCGGCCUGAGAGGGCGACCGCCACACUGGGACUGAGACACGGCCCAGACUCCUGCGGGAGGCAGCAGUGGGGAAUAUUGCACAAUGGGCGAAAGCUGAUGCAGCGACGCCGCGUGGGGGAUGACAGCCUUCGGGUUGUAAACCUCUUUUACCACCAACGCAGGCUCCACGUUUUCGUGGGUUGACGGUAGGUGGGGAAUAAGGACCGGCUAACUACGUGCCAGCAGCCGCGGUAAUACGUAGGGUCCGAGCGUUGUCCGGAAUUAUUGGGCGUAAAGAGCUCGUAGGCGGCAUGUCGCGUCUGCUGUGAAAGACCGGGGCUUAACUCCGGUUCUGCAGUGGAUACGGGCAUGCUAGAGGUAGGUAGGGGAAACUGGAAUUCCUGGUGUAGCGGUGAAAUGCGCAGAUAUCAGGAGGAACACCGGUGGCGAAGGCGGGUUUCUGGGCCUUACCUGACGCUGAGGAGCGAAAGCAUGGGGAGCGAACAGGAUUAGAUACCCUGGUAGUCCAUGCCGUAAACGUUGGGCGCUAGGUGUGGGGACUUUCCACGGUUUCCGCGCCCGUAGUAACGCAUUAAGCGCCCCGCCUGGGGAGUACGGCCGCAAGGCUAAAACUCAAAGGAAUUGACGGGGGCCCGCACAAGCGGCGGAGCAUGUUGCUUAAUUCGACGCAACGCGAAGAACCUUACCAAGGUUUGACAUCACCCGUGGACCUGUAGAGAUACAGGGUCAUUUAGUUGGUGGGUGACAGGUGGUGCAUGGCUGUCGUCAGCUCGUGUCGUGAGAUGUUGGGUUAAGUCCCGCAACGAGCGCAACCCUUGUUCUAUGUUGCCAGCACGUUAUGGUGGGGACUCAUAGGAGACUGCCGGGGUCAACUCGGAGGAAGGUGGGGACGACGUCAAGUCAUCAUGCCCCUUAUGUCUUGGGCUGCAAACAUGCUACAAUGGCCGGUACAAUGGGCGUGCGAUACCGUAAGGUGGAGCGAAUCCCUUAAAGCCGGUCUCAGUUCGGAUUGGGGUCUGCAACUCGACCCCAUGAAGGUGGAGUCGCUAGUAAUCGCGGAUCAGCAACGCCGCGGUGAAUACGUUCCCGGGCCUUGUACACACCGCCCGUCACCGUCAUGAAAGUCGGCAACACCCGAAACUUGUAGCCUAAUUCGGGGAGGGAAUGAGUGAAGGUGGGGCUGGCGAUUGGGACGAAGUCGUAACAAGGUAGCUACCGGAAGGUGCGGCUGAUCACCUCCUU